rnacentral:rRNA from 1 species
GUGGGGAAUAUUGGACAAUGGGCGAAAGCCUGAUCCAGCAAUGCCGCGUGAGUGAAGAAGGCCUUAGGGUUGUAAAGCUCUUUUACCCGGGAAGAUAAUGACUGUACCGGGAGAAUAAGCUCCGGCUAACUCCGUGCCAGCAGCCGCUGUAAUACGGAGGGAGCUAGCGUUGUUCGGAAUCACUGGGCGUAAAGCGCACGUAGGCGGCUUUGUAAGUUAGAGGUGAAAGCCCGGGGCUCAACUCCGAAACUGCCUUUAAGACUGCAUCGAUUGAAUCUGGGAGAGGUAAGUGGAAUUCCGAGUGUAGAGGUGAAAUUCGUAGAUAUUCGGAAGAACACCAGUGGCGAAGGCGGCUUACUGGACCAGAAUUGACGCUGAGGUGCGAAAGCGUGAGGAGCAAACAGGAUUAGAUACCCUAGUAGUCC